GAUUAACGCUAGCGGCAGGCAUAAUACAUGCAAGUUGAACGGGAUCAGUUGUAGCAAUACGACUGUGAGAGUAGCGCACGGGUGCGUAACACGUAUGCAAUCUGCCCCUAUCUGAGGAAUAGCCCCUCGAAAGAGGGAUUAAUAUCUCAUAAAAUAGUGAGUAGGCAUCUACUUACUAUCAAAGCUCAGGCGGAUAGGGAUGAGCAUGCGGCUGAUUAGCUAGUUGGUGAGGUAAUGGCUCACCAAGGCUACGAUCAGUAGGGGGUCUGAGAGGAUGUCCCCCCACCACUGGUACGUGAGACACGGACCAGACUCCUACGGGAGGGCAGC
rnacentral:rRNA from 1 species